CACAUAACGUCUUACAGGUAGGGCCGGGAAAACGGUCAUAUUCUGACCAAUGGUGCCAACCUUCAACGGUUGAGUCCUGACAUGUGGGGACCGCACUCUCCUAACUAACAGUCCCCUGAUAUGAUCUUAGAACAGCCGGAUUUGUCUCUUUUGCAAAAAGCCCAGGCGCUGCUGUCUGGGAAGCCACUCGCCAUCGAACGGUUUGCUUCGUCAAUAACAGCCUUCAGCACCAACGUUUAUGUUUCGACGGGCUUUAACGGUUUCCAUAAGCAAUUAUCUGGAUUUAGGUUGUAGCAAUUGGUUAUCAGAGCAGGUUACGAUCCAGCCACUAGAAAAUCCAAAAAAAAAAAUCCCGUUCGCCAGUCGCUCUCACAUCCUCUUGAUCCAUCCCGUGAAACCCAGGCGAAAGGUGUGGAAUCACUUCGGUGAAACCGCAGAAAACACACUUGUGUGUACGGUAUACCUCAGCUUGGUAGGAGUGGAUUCGGAGUAGCUGCGACGGCAAGAUCGGGCAAGC
rnacentral:lncRNA from 1 species